rnacentral:rRNA from 1 species
UACGUAGGGUGCAAGCGUUAAUCGGAAUUACUGGGCGUAAAGCGUGCGCAGGCGGUUAUGUAAGACAGAUGUGAAAUGCCCGGGCUUAACCUGGGAACUGCAUUUGUGACUGCAUGGCUAGAGUUUGGCAGAGGGGGGUAGAAUUCCACGUGUAGCAGUGAAAUGCGUAGAUAUGUGGAGGAACACCGAUGGCGAAGGCAGCCCCCUGGGUCAAGACUGACGCUCAUGCA